CGACAAAUAAAGAGAUGCACUUCACAACACUAUGAGCGGGUACUUGAACAAUUGAAUGCUCUUCGUUUUGAUGAGUAAAUAGAAAUGCCAAAAUCUUCCACUUUUGAUACGAAGGUAUUUACAGAGAGUGUUUGAAUAUGACGUCAAAGCGGCCAUAUUGGGGGCGUAAAUCAAAGAGCCGAAGCUCGGUAGAACAUGACAUCAACAUAAAUUCCUUUCACUAUAUAUUUGUUUUCCAAUGGCGACCGACGAAAACACUCUAGUUGUGGUCAGAGUUGUGGAUGCGACGCUAGUCAAAAUAAUUUGAAGGACUCCACGCGAGAAAACAUAUCUGACGA